UGCACCUUGGGAUUGGAAUCUCAAAUUCUUUUUUUUUUUGGGAAAAUGAAUUUUUUACCCAUAAAAUGGUCCGCCCUCCUUUGUUUAUUCCUCAUUCUAACUUUUCUAAGUGAAGAGUGAUUCGUGAGUGAGUGGGUUCGGGUUUCUGGAAACUUUAGGUUUUUCUUGAAGUUCUUCAUUUUGUUCUUGAAGUUCUUCAUCUUGUUCUUGAAGAUCUUCAUCUUGUUCUUGAGGAAGGAGUCAUUUGGAUAAUUUGACAUUCUUGUGGGCUUUUUGUGCAAAUUGAGAAAAUUUUUGGGGCUUCUUGUGAUUUUGAAAAAUAUGGAUGAAAGAAGAAAGAGAAAGACUUGUGGAGAAAUCCAGCUAGAGGGUUGCAAAUAGUUCUUUCCAAAGGGAUGAGGGCUUCGCCGAUUGGUACUCCAGACAGACUCUUCACAACAGUCGGAACCACAUCUACAACUCGAUAUGGUGUUCUUGGGUAAGUCUUCACAUUUCAUUCAUUAUUUUGAUCAUCUUUUAUUCAUGUUUUGUUUUUCUUUUCUUUUCUUUUUUAUUAUCUUUUAUGUUGUUUUUUUUUUAUUAUUAUUUUUUAUUUCCAUUAGCAUAAGGGGAGGGAACCACCUACCUUGGCCCUGUAUGGCCAUCUGAACAUGGUUUAGUCAUGGUACAAGAUGCUUCCUCAUAGAGUGAAGGAGAUGGCUGAUGCAUCAUACCUGUGCCGGUUAGCCCAUGUAGAGACCCGAAAGUUCAAUCCGGCACUUGUGGGGGCCUUGAUGGAGCGGUGGUGGCCAAGUACUCAUUCUUUUCAUCUUCCUGUUGGCGAAAUCACCAUCAUGCCUUUGUGCUUUUAUGCCUUAAUAGGCAUUCCAUUUGGGGGUAGACCCAUGGCCCUACCCGAGACUCCGCCUGUCAGGGAGUUUACAGACUUGACAGGCAUCACCAUUACAGCUGACCAGACACAUAUCCAUCUAGGGGAGAUCACUGCACGAUGGUGGAGAACUGGCCUAUGGGUGAACCCAGGCAACAUGGCAUAGGUGGCCCAUUCUUUCUUGCUAUUUGCUCUGGGUCAGUGCCCUUUUAGUGACCUCCGAGGGGGAGUAGACAUUCGCCUGGUGUUCUUCUUUCAGAAUCUUACGGCGGUAGAUUCUUGGGAUUGGGUUGGGGCCACCUAUACAUAUCUCUCAUGGACCCUAGACCUAUUGUGAUAUGGAGAUCGAGGUCUCAAGGGAGUGGGCUUCAUCCUCCAGGUAAUUUUCCUUUUUAUACCUUUUUCCUUUCAUUUAUUUGGAUUGCACUUUCUUACUUUAAUCUCUUCAAACAGCCUUGGUGCUUUGAGCACUGAUGGAUUAUAGCUCCCAGAUUGAGGGAUCCUCAAGCAUUUUUCUUCCCUAUAGCCACAAGGUAGGGAGAUAAUUAGGUGCUCAGGGCUUGGUGCCAUCUUCCGAGGACCACUGCUUACUCUUUGGAAUGAUCUCACUGAGGUCACUUAGAGACCAUUCUAGUGCCUCGUAUUCCCAGAUUCUGACAGAUAACAUUAGCUAGACACUUAUCCAAGAAUCAGGUCCUUUUCUGGGGCAUAUGGGGCCACAUCUAGUAUCUGGGAGAGAGAGUGUUCCCUAGUGGUUGGAUGUCGAGUCACGCCUCUCUCUCGGUCUUCCUCCACCCACUAUGCAUUGCCCAAAGAUCAUCCCUAUGGACAAGAUUGAGAGUUUGGCUGACAGAGUAUGGGAUGACUCAUUUUUUGACUGGGAUAGGGACUACAGAGCCUUCCUGGAGGAGGGGAUAGUAUGCACCCCUCUUGGUUAUGAUGGUCUAGUGGUAUGUUACCCUUUCUUGAGUAUUUUCUUCAAAUUCUUUCUUGUUUUGGUCUUGGCUGAUGCUCUUUUAGGGGAGAACACGACGUGUAGACCCUUCUAUUGUUCGGUCGCAUGUCAGUGGUGUUGAUAUUUUACAAGUAGGACCCUCUACCAAUGCAAGUGGGUCUCUCAGAGUUGCUAACAUCCCCUUCUGUGGCUUCCCCGCUUGGUGCUAUCCCAACGUGGCCAACCCCAGUCUCCCUCAUCUUCUGGAGCAGAAGAUAGAUGUAGAUGCUUCCCUUGGGCUGCCCAUUCCUUAUAAUUAUAGGUCUAUUCUGAGAUCAAGAGGAUGCAUUAUGGCCUAUGCGAGGCAAUGGUUGCGAAGGAUGGGAGGAUUGGCGCCUUGGAGAGCCAAGUUAAUUCCUAUAAGCAGGAAAUUGCACAGCAGCAUGCACUGAUUCAGGACAUGACACAGAGGCUGGAGCAAACUGGACUAGCAUCUGUGGGUUCCCCGAUACUCUAUGGAGAUGAUUCAGAUAAUGGUUCAGAUGAUGACUUUUGACCCAUAGGGAUUUGUUCCUAUAUUUCCUGUAAACACAUACACAUGUAUAUUUUCCUUUUUCUUUUUCCCUCCCCCUUGUUUG